CUACAUCAAUUCUCUUCCACCUGACCACAGUCUUCAACCACAACAGGUUGCAAAGUCCUCCCGCUUUCUGAGCCUACUUUUUCCAUUUCCUUCACAACGCUAUAACCAUCCACUACUUUACCAAAGACAACAUGUUUUCCAUCCAGCCAUGGGGUCUUCUCAGUGCAUAUAAAGAACUGAGAACCGUUGGUGUUUGGUCCAGCAUUUGCCAUUGAUAGACAACCAGGUCCAGUGUGUUUGAGCUUGAAGUUUUCAUCCGCAAAUUUCAUGCCAUAGAUAGAUUCUCCACCCGUGCCAUUCCCCCUUGUGAAAUCUCCACCUUGACACAUGAAGCUCGGGAUGAUUCGGUGAAAUGCUGAGCCUUUAUAGUGCAACGGCUUCCCACACUGUCCAACACCUUUCUCC
rnacentral:lncRNA from 1 species